rnacentral:rRNA from 1 species
UGAAAGCACAAAGGGCACAUGGUGGAUGCCUACGCACCAGACGGCGAUGAAGGACGUGGCGAACUGCGAUAUGCCUCGGUGAGCUGUAAGCGAGCUUAGACCCGGGGAUUUCCGAAUGGGGCAACCCGGCAGGUUGAAGACCUGUCAUUCCGCAAGGAAGGCGAACGGCGUGAACUGAAACAUCUUAGUAGCGCCAGGAAGAGAAAGUAACAACGAUUCCCUAAGUAGCGGCGAGCGAACGGGGACUAGCCUAAACCGGCUUCGGCCGGGGUAGUGGGACAGCGAUGUCUCGAUUAAACUCAUAGACGAACCGAUCUGGAAAGUUCGACCGAAGGGGGUGAAAGUCCCGUAGUCGAAAUGGGUUUAAAAGAGUAGCUGCAUCCCGAGUAGCCCGGGGCACGAGAAAUCCUGGGUGAAUCCGCGAGGACCAUCUCGUAAGGCUAAAUACGUUUGGUGACUGAUAGCGUAGCAGUACCGUGAGGGAAAGGUGAAAAGCACCCCGGGAGGGGAGUGAAAUAGAACCUGAAACCGUGUGCCUACAAGCGGUCAGAGCAGAGCUUCGGCUUUGUGAUGGCGUGCCUUUUGCAUAAUGAGCCAACGAGUUAAUGUCAUAAGCGAGGUUAAGUAUUACAGAUACGAAGCCGUAGCGAAAGCGAGUCUUAACAGGGCGUAAAGUUUAUGGUAUUAGACCCGAAACCAGGUGAUCUACCCAUGGUCAGGUUGAAGGUUGGGUAAAACCAACUGGAGGACCGCACCAACCGUCGUUGAAAAGGCGGUGGAUGAACUGUGGGUAGGGGUGAAAGGCCAAACAAACCUGGAGAUAGCUGGUUCUCUCCGAAACAUAUUUAGGUAUGGCCUCAGGAUUAGAUUAAUGGAGGUAGAGCACUGAAUGGGCUAGGGGGCACACACGCUUACUGAACCCAAUCAAACUCCGAAUGCCAUUAAUUAUUUCCUGGGAGACAGGGCGUGAGGGAUAAGCUUCACGUGCGAGAGGGGAACAACCCAGACUGUCAGCUAAGGCCCCCAAAUAGAUGCUUAGUGCGUAAGGAUGUUCAAUUGCCCAGACAGCCAGGAUCUUGGCUUAGAAGCAGCCACGAUUUAAAGAGUGCGUAACAGCUCACUGGUCGAGUGGUAGAGCACCGAAGAUGAUCGGGACUAAGAAGCAUCUUGCCGAAGCUGCGGAACAGCGCUGAUUUAAUGCGUUUUGAUGAUAAGCGGGAGAUCAUAUUGCGAGCUGAUAAGCGAGCAAGCAUUUCCCCCGACUAUGAAGCAUCAUGCCGGAAAUGCAUGAAUAGCGAUCAUAGAGACGUAUCUUGCCGAAGGGCAAGGUGGCCAAGGAUGAUUUUCCGAAGGCAAAAUCAUUAUUAGACGUAUUAAAUCAGCGCUGUUGGUAGGAGAGCAUUGUGAACGGCGUAGAAGGUGAAUCGUAAGGUUUGCUGGAGCGUUCACAAGAGACCAUGUUGGCAUGAGUAACGAUAAUGCGGGCGAGAAACCCGCACACCACAAGCCCGAGGAUUCCUGAGUAAAGUUAAUCUUCUCAGGGUUAGUCGGCCCCUAAGGUAUAGCGAUAAGGCGAAGCUGAUGGGAAUCAGGUUAAUAUUCCUGAACCUGUGUAUGCAGUGAUGGAGUGACGCAAUGGUGCAGUGAGGACAGCUGUUGGAUUAGCUGUUGAAUGUGUGUAGGAGGUAAUACAGGCAAAUCCGUAUUACACUACUCCGAGGCACAGGACGACGCGUAAGCGACAAAGCUCACCUACAGACAUUGCCUAGAAAUAGCUUCUAAACUUAUGUAUAUACAGACCGUACCGCAAACCGACUCAGGUGGGCGAGGAGAGUAUCCUAAGGUGUUCGAGAGAACUCUGGUUAAGGAACUAGGCAAAAUAACCCCGUAACUUCGGGAGAAGGGGUACCCCAUUAUCGUGACCGGCUUGCGCCGUGAGCGAGAAGGGGUCGCAGUGAAGAGGCCCAAGCGACUGUUUAUCAAAAACACAGGUCUAUGCGAAGGCGAAAGCCACGGUAUAUAGACUGACACCUGCCCGGUGCCGGAAGGUUAAAUGGAGAGGUCAGCCUGCACUAAGUUUAUCAAUCACGAAGAGAUUGGUGAAUUUAGUGCAGGCGAAGCUUCGAAAUGAAGCCCCGGUAAACGGCGGCCGUAACUAUAACGGUCCUAAGGUAGCGAAAUUCCUUGUCGGGUAAGUUCCGACCUGCACGAAUGGUGUAACGAUUUGGGCGCUGUCUCAACCAGGGACUCGGUGAAAUUGAAGUAGCGGUGAAGAUGCCGCUUACCCGCGAACGGACGGAAAGACCCCGUGAACCUUUACUGUAGCUUGGCAUUGUAAAUUGGUGCAGUAUGUGUAGGAUAGGUGGGAGGCUAUGAAGCGUGCACGCUAGUGUGUGUGGAGCCGACGUUGAAAUACCACCCUUAUUGUAUUGAUUUACUAACGAUUGUAAAGCAAUCGGACAUUGCCAGGUGGGCAGUUUGACUGGGGCGGUCGCCUCCGAAACAGUAACGGAGGCUUACCAAGGUUCCCUCCGGCUGGUUGGUAAUCAGCCAAAGAGCAUAAAGGUAUAAGGGAGCUUAACUGCGAGACUGACGGGUCGAGCAGAUGGGAAACCAGGUCUUAGUGAUCCGGCGGUCCUGAAUGGAAGGGCCGUUGCUCAAAGGAUAAAAGGUACUCCGGGGAUAACAGGCUGAUACCGCCCAAGAGUUCAUAUCGACGGCGGUGUUUGGCACCUCGAUGUCGGCUCAACUCAUCCUGGGGCUGAAGAAGGUCCCAAGGGUUCGGCUGUUCGCCGAUUAAAGAGUUACGCGAGCUGGGUUCAGAACGUCGUGAGACAGUUCGGUCCCUAUCCUUCGUGGGCGUAGGAAAUUUGAGGAGAUCUGCAUUUAGUACGAGAGGACCGGUGUGGACGAACCUCUGGUGUACCGGUUGUGAUGCCAAUUGCAUUGCCGGGUAGCCACGUUCGGAGAGGAUAACCGCUGAAAGCAUCUAAGCGGGAAGCCAACUCCAAGAUUAGAUUUCCCAAUAGAUAGGUUGGAGACUACAACCUUGAUAGGUCACAGGUGUACGCGCAGCAAUGUGUUUAGCCGAGUGAUACUAAUAAAUCGAUUGGCUUUUACCU